AAAAAAUUGUUACAGAUGGAAACAGGUUCCUAAUUCUAAUGACCAAGACCAAAAUCAAUGGACUGAUUAAUCCCUUUGGACUUAGGCACGAAAACAAGGCUGUCUUGAAGCUUAGAGCAGCCACCUUCCAUUCCAUCAAGUCUCUUCAAACCUGUAAUCUGCAGAAAACAAAAAUAGCUUAAAUAAAAAGCACUUUUCAAAAGCGCUUAAAAAACUAAAAAAUAACUAAACAAAUUACUCAGUUUGAAACUUUACCCAGCAGGUUAACUUGAACAUCCAAAAAGGCAUUGCAAUAAUAAUUUAAAACAGAACAAAUCCACAGAAAUUAAAUCCCACAUAAUCUGGGAUGGGAAAAUCGAAAAAGAAAGGAUUUUUCAAGACUUAAAAAUUCUUCAUAAACACACAAUAAGAACACAACAACAAAAAGGCACAUAAGAACACAACACCAAGAACAACAAAUUAAUUUUCUCUAAAAAACCUAAAAAGUUAACAGCAACAACAGAGCAUUUUUCUCAAACACACACAUGAGAACAGAGUGAUUUGUUUCUUGAAAACCAAGAACAACACAUUAAUAUUCCUAAAAACCCUAAAAACGAACACAAGAAAAACACACACAUGAGAACAGAGUGAUUUGUUUCUUGAAAACCAAGAACAACACAUUAAUAUUCCUAAAAACCCUAAAAACGAACACAAGAACAACAAAUCAAUUUCUUUCAAACCCAGAAGAACACAACAAGAAAUUCAAAAAAAAAAACCUAAAAAACUUACAGAAAAGCAAAGGGAAAGUAGUUCACCUCACUGAAGAAUCGCUCGCCGAAGAGAACCGUUGCCGGCAUCCGGAGGAUCUCACCGAACCCGGAGAUUUUCAGAGCUUCCGAUUUGGUAAACGAUUCACACCUAUCUUCUUCCAUGAGUUUCCCUUUUUUGUAGAUAUUUUGGUUGAGUUUGUUUUCGCAUGAUUUUAUGUUGUGUGUCUCGAAAUUAUGAGAAGGAGAAAGAGGGUUGGUUCAUGAAACAAAGUUAGGAGAGGGAGAGAAUGAAGCGACGGAGGAGAGCGGAGGCUCCGCCAUGAGCCGCCGUCUCCGGUCGUCUUCUCCAAGAGAGAGGAGCUUUAGG
rnacentral:lncRNA from 1 species